GAGGGUAGAGCUCAGUGGUAGAGCAUAUGCUUAGCAUGCACGAGGUCCUGGGUUCAAUCCCCAGUGCCUCUG
rnacentral:tRNA from 1 species